AAAAAAAAAAAAAAAAAAAACCUUGCACAGCUUAGUUGCUGCUGUCUCCCUCCCAGAGUGACAUGGUGAUCCGGGCUUGUCCUGUCCUUUCAUUCACUUCCCCUCCUUCCAGCGGGUGGGUGGAACCGAGAGAGCCUCUCCAGGGAGCGGCGUAUGCAGUCCAGAAGGCUGCAGUAUUUCCUCCAAGAAAAAAAAAAAAAAAGGCUGCUUCAACCCCUGCUGCAAGCAAAGUUCCGAUUCCCUCUGCUGGCUAUCUCGAAUAGCAAAGCGAUUUUUGCAGCGAAGCUGCUGCCGCUGGAACUGAACCGGGGGACUCAGAUGCGGGCGGUGGAUUGCUUCUUAUCCUUCCCUCCAUCGACUCCACGGAAGAGCUGCCUUCUCCCCUUUUCGUGCCAAGUUUAAAGCCCACUCGUCUCUGAUGAAAGCACCUGCUGAUAUAGAGGAAACAUCUUGGAAGGCUGAGCACAACUUCCUUAAAUAGUCACCUGGACCAGCCAUUGAUUUGUCCUGAAAAAAGGGGGCAGAUACAGAGGGAAGUCAGUCUGUCUGUCAGUGUGAUGGAUUCCCAUCAAACUGCAGUCUGGAAAGGACUGAGCUUCUCAAGACUUUAAUGUGAUUUAUUCUCCACUGAAGGGAUGUGAUUUUUAUAUCAGGUAUGGCUUUCCUUUAGUAUUUUUUUUUUAAAUGCCUGCCUUUGAAAUGACUCCUACAAUGAAGAUCCUCACCACUUGCCCUUGUUAAAUAUCUGGUGAUCCUUUUCCCCGGCAGAUGGGAAGGGCCUCCUGAUAUGCCCCUGGCCUCAUUUCAAUUUGGGUAAUUGCAUCCUGUCGACUUGAAAUGUCCCCAUCAGUUUCAUCGGCCGGGGAUCCGAGGCCUCAUUCUCAGUCCUGACUGCCUGGUGUGCCGUCGGAGGCUGGGAACAGCUGGUGCAUUCCAGCCCAGAAGUGGAUGCAUUUCAGUGGCAGGUGCAAAGGUUUUCUUUGGCCGAAUACAAAUUCUAAGCUAGGAAUAAGCUUCAAGGAUGCUUUUUUAUUUUUUCAAUAAACAGAAGUAACUACCAGGAAACCAAAAAUAUAAAAGUAUCCAAAGCGUAAAUGUGAAUUGGGAGGAAAAUAAAUACACAUGC